GAGUUUGAACCUGGCUCAGGAUGAACGCUGGCGACGUGCUUAACACAUGCAAGUCGAACGGACCUGUACUGAAACCUAGUGAUUUACAGGUUAGUGGCGGACGGGUGAGUAACGCGUGGAAAACCUGCCGUAUACUGGGGGAUAACACUUAGAAAUAGGUGCUAAUACCGCAUAAGCGCACAGACCCGCAUGGGACAGUGUGAAAAACAAAAAGUUAAAGCUUUUUAUGGUAUACGAUGGUUCCGCGUCUGAUUAGCUUGUUGGCGGGGUAACGGCCCACCAAGGCGACGAUCAGUAGCCGGCCUGAGAGGGUGAACGGCCACAUUGGGACUGAGACACGGCCCAGACUCCUACGGGAGGCAGCAGUGGGGAAUAUUGCACAAUGGGGGAAACCCUGAUGCAGCGACGCCGCGUGAGUGAAGAAGUAUCUCGGUACGUAAAGCUCUAUCAGCAGGGAAGAAAAAAAGUCUUUGGCUUUGGACGGUACCUGACUAAGAAGCCCCGGCUAACUACGUGCCAGCAGCCGCGGUAAUACGUAGGGGGCAAGCGUUAUCCGGAUUUACUGGGUGUAAAGGGAGCGUAGACGGCAGCGCAAGUCUGGAGUGAAAUGCCGGGGCUCAACCCCGGAACUGCUUUGGAAACUGUGCAGCUAGAGUGCGGGAGAGGUAAGCGGAAUUCCUAGUGUAGCGGUGAAAUGCGUAGAUAUUAGGAGGAACACCAGUGGCGAAGGCGGCU
rnacentral:rRNA from 1 species